UACGUAGGGUGCAAGCGUUGUCCGGAAUUAUUGGGCGUAAAGAGCUCGUAGGCGGUUUGUCGCGUCUGCUGUGAAAACUCGGGGCUUAACUCCGGGCCUGCAGUGGGUACGGGCAGACUAGAGUGCGGUAGGGGAGACUGGAAUUCCUGGUGUAGCGGUGAAAUGCGCAGAUAUCAGGAGGAACACCGGUGGCGAAGGCGGGUCUCUGGGCCGAUACUGACGUUGAGGGACGAAGGCUUGGGUAGCGAAUAGG
rnacentral:rRNA from 1 species